GGAGAACUUGGAUCUUCUCCUCCAGGAAAAUGUUCUUUUCCACCUGUAAAGGGUGCGGUGUUAAGAGGCCCUCAGCAAGCUUAUAAGGUUCCUGUGGUUCUCAGCUGGCUUCUGACCUCCACUCGGCCUCCCUGGACCUCAGGGCUGGGAUGCACAUCCCUGAGGUGAGCUACCAGGAUUCCUCUUCCUCUCUACCAUGAAGCAGCCAUCUGGGGCAGCAGGAGGGAGCCUUCAGAGAGAGUGGGGCUGUGAGCACCCAUCUCGCUGCCUGGGGUCACUGGACAAGGUGGUGAACGGGGAGGUGCUGUGUCUGCAAGGCCUCUGGGCUACAGGCCGAACACCACGGAUCUCCAGGAUUUGCUUGAGCAAAGAGUCGAUGUUAAGACACUCAGACAAAAGAAAGGACUAAUUGGUCUGGUUCCUCUUGGAGAGUUUGGAGCUAUUCUAUUUUAUGAAAACUGUCAUUUCAGUAAUAAUUUGCAAGUUAGGCAGGAAGAGAUACCAUGUAAGACUUAUUAAGCAAAUGGAUUCUGUUUUCCUCCAGACGGGAACAGUCUUAUUAGCUGGGUGAAACGCAUCUGAUUCUGGCUACACAGCGAUUUGUUUGGAUGUUAUAACUGGAGGGAGGAAAGGUCUCAUUAAUCAGUGUGGAUCGCAUGCUUAGAACAGGAGAGUGCUGGAGACCAACAAUUAUCAUUCUGGCUGGCAAGAGCUGCAAUUAGGAAAAACUUUGUGGUUUCCAUUGACCCAAGUCUUUUAACUAAUGAUGGGGACGUUCUCUAAGAAACCUAGUUGUUAUAGCUGAAAUUUACAUUUGGAAAAAAAAAAGUUUGUGCUGAUUUCACUAACAUAAAACUAUGCGGCCUUCUUUCUACCUGCCUUUGUCUAAUUGAUUCAUUUUAAUAGCCAUUGAGAGCAUCAUCCUGACCAUAAUAAUGAAUUUUUUAGCUACCACUACAUACACCUAAAUUGCCUUGACAUUGGAUAUGAGUUGAAGGCCGUGAAUGUGGCAUCUAAGCGAGACUU